GAGUGAUAUAUCCAUGACAUUCUAAAGAAAGCUAGAAUGGAGAACUCUUCCCAUAUACCUACUUUGAUGGUAGUCAACAAAUAUUACUCUAAAGAAGAUGGAACUCUUCUUCAAGAACCCUUCAAAUAUAGGCAAUUGAUUGGAGCAUUACAGUGUCUUAUCAACACUAGACCUGACAUCAUGUUCUCAGUUAACAAACUGAGUCAAUUUCUCAGUUGUCCAACUGACAUUCACUGGCAAGCUCUAAAACGAAUACUUCGGUAUCUAAGAGGGACUUCAAAUCUAGCUUUACACAUCAAGCCACACAAUAGAUUACCUUAAAAGGAUUUUCAUAUGCUAAUUGGGAUGUUUGCCCUGAUAAUUGUCUCUCUAUGGGGGGCUAUUGUGUCUUCUUGGGUGAUACUCUGAUUUACUGGGCUGCAAAGAAGCAAAAGGUUGUGGUGAGAUCUGGUGCUGAAUAAAAAUAUUGAGCUUUAGCAGAUCUGUCAACUGAGCUCACUUGGCUUCAAUCUCUUGCUUGUGAAAUUGGCCUUCGACUGCAUAACUCUCCUGUAGCAUGGUGUGAUAAUCUUAGUGCUUCAGCUUUAGCUUCGAAUCUUGUGUAUCAUGCUCGGUCAAAACACAUUGAGCUGGACGUACAUUACAUCUGUGACCGUGUACUGAAUGAAACAAACUGGGCAUCGUUCAAACACCAGGGCCAAGAUUAAAGGGGAGUAUUGAGACAAAGAAGAAAGUGAAACAACCCAGAAAGGAAGACAAGCCCAAUAUUCUACAUAAGCCCAAUCAUCUCAAUAUUCAGCCCAUACAAUAGAAUAAAGUUAGGAUUUGACUAUUCUUUAUUUGUGUAUACUUGUAUAGAUCACAUUCAUUCUAAGGUUACAUUCCCUAAGUAUUUAUGGUUACGUUUGCUUGUCAAUAACAUUAAGCCACCAUUAUGCAAUAUUUUAUUCCUUA